AGCCGAAACCGCCCGGCCAGGGCGGUCUGCAGGGAUAACCUCCCUGCACUGACGAUGGCAGGUUAUG
rnacentral:hammerhead_ribozyme from 1 species